CCAAAGACUGACUGGAUUGCUGUAUUCUGCAGCAGAGAAGCGGUGACUCACCAGUCACGAGCAGCCCUGCUCUGUAACAGAGGAGUCUUUACAUUUUCAAAUAACAACUAAGUUUCUUAAAACAGCAAGAAUGUGUCACUCAGGGGAAUUUCAUUUUAUUUUUCAAAUCCUCAUUUAGUAGGCACUAUAACUGGAAGAUAGAUCCAAGAAGAUCUUUGUUGAGUUAUGAACGCAGAUACAGAGAUUCCAAGAAAUUUUCUCAGAUUCAGUCCAUACUGGAAAUCUUUCAGUAUUCUCUCCAUUUUCUUACAAAUAAAGAUUAUACUAAGUUCUUCAUGAGAUGAUGACCUACUAUACACUCUGUGAGACCAUUUUGUAACCUGAUCAUAUGGUUCAACCACUUGAACAUCUCAGAAACUUUUCAGAUAUCAUUCUGUGUAAUUCUGCCUGAUUUUUAAUACUUUCCAGGAUUUAUUGGAUUGUGAAAAAGCACAGAAAUAACCACUCUUGUGUAAUGUUUCUUCUUCUCAUGUACUAAAGAGAUCAAGUACAGCAAACUGAAGACAUUAAUCAUCUGGAAAGUGGGAGUCCUGUGGUACAGAUAACCCAGAGUGGAUGGACACAAGGCAGGAUUUGGGGUGGUGGUUCCAAACUUACCUGAUAUUAAAAGAGGAAUUUGCCAGUGAAAUGAAUCUAAGUGUGCAAGUUGCAGCAGCCUUGAGACAGAAGCAAAUUCCACACUGGUAAAUAAUCAGAAGGCUACAGCACCUUGGGUGUGGAACUCUGUGCUUGUCCAAAGCAGACUGAAGAUCUGCAGAACAGAUUCUGUAACAGGAGCUUCCACAGUCAGCACAGGUAG
rnacentral:lncRNA from 1 species